UACGGAGGGUGCAAGCGUUAUCCGGAUUUACUGGGUUUAAAGGGUGUGUAGGCGGGCUGUUAAGUCAGAGGUGAAAUCUCCGGGCUCAACCCGGAAACUGCCUUUGAUACUAUCAGUCUUGAAUCUUGUUGAGGUGGGCGGAAUAUGUCAUGUAGCGGUGAAAUGCUUAGAUAUGACAUAGAACACCGAUUGCGAAGGCAGCUCACUAAACAAGCAUUGACGCUGAGGCACGAAAGCGUGGGGAUCAAACAGG
rnacentral:rRNA from 1 species